rnacentral:sRNA from 1 species
GAGGAAGGGAACAGCCUGCCUCCAAGCAGCUUGGAGUGUAGCAAGUGCUGUCGGAAGUUCUCCAACACGCGCCAGCUGCGGAAGCACAUCUGCAUUAUCGUGCUGAAUUUGGGUGAGGAGGAAGGAGAAGCAGGUAACGAGUCUGACCUUGAACUAGAAAAGAAGUGUAAGGAAGAUGAUCGGGAAAAAGCCUCGAAAAGACCACGGUCACAGAAAACAGAGAAAGUCCAGAAGAUCUCAGGAAAGGAGGCCGGACAGCUUUCUGGGGCGAAGAAACCCAUCAUAAGUGUGGUUUUAACUGCACACGAAGCAAUUCCAGGCUAGGUCCCACUCAGCUCAAAAUCUUCACUUGUGAAUACUGCAACAAGGUCUUCAAGUUCAAGCACUCGCUGCAGGCCCACCUGAGGAUCCACACCAAUGAAAAACCAUACAAGUGCCCCCAGUGC